rnacentral:RNase_P_RNA from 1 species
GGAGGAAGGCGGGCGACUGCUGCCACCAAAAGUCUUCUUGAGGUGGGAGAGGAAAGUCCGGGCUCCACGAAGAGAAGAGGCCAGCUAACGGCUGGCGGAGGAUUCUAGGGAAAGUGCCACAGAAAAGAAACCACCAACAGCAGUUGGUAAGGGUGAAAAGGAGAGGUAAGAGCUCCCCGCGCUUUUGGGAAACCAAGGCGGCACGGUAAACCCCCUCUGGAGCAAGAUCGAAUAGGGAUAGGAGGACUUAUGUCCCUGCAGCUCUUCGUGCAGCACCUAUCCGGGUUGAUCGCUUGAGGUCUGCGGUGAUGCAGAUCCUAGAGGAAUAGUCGCCCCUGCAUGCAGGACAGAACCCGGCUUAUAGCUUUCCUCCGAAC